rnacentral:rRNA from 1 species
GGGGGGGGCGGGGGGGGGGGUGAGCACGUGGACGUCGAGCGGGGGGGCGCGGCGUUGGGGGGUGGCUCGGGUGGCGCGGGGGUGGGUGGCCCGUGAGUACCCGGCCCUGGGCGGGGGGGUAACUUCAGGGCACUGGGGAUGAACCAGUGUAGAGGCUCCUGCGGCGUGGUGGGGGGUGGAAAGUGUCGGCGGUUGUGGAUUGACUCGCGGCUUAUCAGUUUGUUGGUGGGGUAGUCGCUUCGCCAGGCUUGGACGGGUAGCCGGCCUGAGAGGGUGACCGGCCACAUUGGGACUGAGAUACGGCCCAGACUCCUACGGGAGGCAGCAGUGGGGAAUAUUGCACAAUGGGCGGAAGCCUGAUGCAGCAACGCCGCGGGCGGGAUGACGGCCUUCGGGUUGUAAACCGCUUUCGCCUGUGACGAAGCGUGAGUGACGGUAAUGGGUAAAGAAGCACCGGCUAACUACGUG